AACGCACAUUGCGCCCUUUGGUAUUCCUUAGGGCAUGCCUGUUCGAGCGUCAUUUCAAACUUCAAGCCCCCCCUUUAGCUUGGUGUUGGGCGUCUGUCCUCCCCCCGGGACUCGCCUCAAAUGCAUUGGCAGCCGGCACGUUGGCUUCGAGCGCAGCAGAAACGCGCGCGGCGUCCGACGGUGCCUGGCUCUCCAGGAAGCCUCCACCUCAAGUUUGACCUCGGAUCAGGUAGGGAUACCCGCUGAACUUAA
rnacentral:misc_RNA from 3 species